AUUGAACGCUGGCGGCAGGCCUAACACAUGCAAGUCGAGCGGAUGAAGGGAGCUUGCUCCUGGAUUCAGCGGCGGACGGGUGAGUAAUGCCUAGGAAUCUGCCUGGUAGUGGGGGAUAACGUCCGGAGACGGGCGCUAAUACCGCAUACGUCCUGAGGGUGAAAGUGGGGGAUCUUCGGACCUCACGCUAUCAGAUGAGCCUAGGUCGGAUUAGCUAGUUGGUGGGGUAAAGGCCUACCAAGGCGACGAUCCGUAACUGGUCUGAGAGGAUGAUCAGUCACACUGGAACGGAGACACGGUCCAGACUCCUACGGGAGGCAGCAGUGGGGAAUAUUGGACAAUGGGCGAAAGCCUGAUCCAGCCAUGCCGCGUGUGUGAAGAAGGUCUUCGGAUUGUAAAGCACUUUAAGUUGGGAGGAAGGGCAGUAAGUUAAUACCUUGCUGUUUUGACGUUACCAACAGAAUAAGCACCGGCUAACUUCGUG
rnacentral:rRNA from 1 species